UACAUGGGGUGCAAACGUUGCUCGGAAUUAUUGGGCGUAAAGCGCGCGUAGGCGGUUACUUAAGUCGGAUGUGAAAGCCCUCGGCUUAACUGAGGAAGUGCACCCGAAACUGAGUAGCUAGAGUACGAAAGAGGGUCGCGGAAUUCCCGGUGUAGAGGUGAAAUUCGUAGAUAUCGGGAGGAACACCGGUGGCGAAGGCGGCGACCUGGGUAGAUACUGACGCUGAGGUGCGAAAGCGUGGGAGCGAACAGG
rnacentral:rRNA from 1 species